GUUUCUGCAAGUUUCAGUUUUCAGAAAUUGGAGUCCAGGCCAAGUUGAACCAGGAGAAGCUGUGGUCCAUCCCAGUGCUGACACCCACACCUAAAGGUGCUCAGCCUGGGAUGUCUCCCCAGGGCAUGAGGUGGAGUAAGGAGGCUGUUUGCCUGUAGAGAACACAGCUCUUCCUAAUGAGUGGAGCUGGGGGUGGGGUCUGAGCAGCAUGAAGUACCUUGUAGAGUCCGAUGUGCCCAUUUCCAGAGUUUCAAAAAAAGAAAGCAAGAGUUAUGCUAGAAGAUGCAAAGGUACUAUGGGUGCCUGAUGUCAUUAAAUCUCAAGAAUGUUAAGCCCAUGAGCAGUGAGGCUCCUGUGUAGCAUACCACAACCUCUGGCCAACUUGGUUUCAUCCGUGAUGGUAACCAGUGGUAGUUCUCCUGGCUCGUUAUCUGAACACUCCAUGACUCAUCAUCCCACUGACCAAUAUUUCUGAGCACUUACUGUGUGCCUGGCACUCUGUUGAGCAAACCCAGGGACACACCCUGCCCUCGUGGAACUGAUAGUCCGGCUGGGAGUCAGAUGUAAAUAUCCAUGAAGAUAAAUGAAAGAGAGGUACGUCGAGAAGAACUAGCGGUCUGACAAAAAUAAGCACACGUGACUCCAGUUCUCCACCCAGAUGUCUGGUAUUACGCUUCUCAGGGAACUAUCAGCUGACCUCAGUGGAUCCAGAAGGUUGUAUUGGUUUAGGCUCUUGAAAAAUACUCCAUGCCAAGGAAAUAUUUCAGAAAGCAUCCAGAAGAACAGAAGAAAAGUAAUGUUAAAAAUGCAAAUAACUAUACUUUCAGAUACAAGUGUUUCUGUUGACAAAUUUUGCCAUACCUGGUUCAUUCUGACACUGAAGUAGCCUUAUUAAAGGACACUGUUUUGGCUGAAAUUAUACACUUUAGUGUCAUCUAAUGGAGAACCCAUAUGCUUGUUGGGGUAUUAGGUGGAAAGAAGUGUUUUCUUUUAUUAAAAAAAGCCAAAGUUGGGGUCCCUGGGUGGCUCAGUUGGUUAAGGUCCCACUCUUGAUUUUGGCUCAGGUCAAGAUCUCCCAGUUCAUCAGAUCGAGCACCACAUCGGGCCUGGAGUCUGCUUAAGAUUCUCUCUUCCUCCUCCUCUGCCCCUCCCCUGCUCACUCGCUUUCUUUCUAAAGAAAAAAUAAUAAUAAUUAAACAUGCUGAGGAAAGACACCAUUCAAACUACUAUAAUCAUGCCCAAACAAUUCCCUAAUUAAUGGAUAUAUAUUAUAGGAUGAAUACAGGGUAGGGAGGCUCCACCUUUCUCGGCUAAGGCUGCUACCAACGUGACAGACAAACUUCAGUUCUUCCUGCCUAUUUGAUCUGUGGGAAUUGUCCAGAAUCAGAUGCCAUCAUGGGCCCCUGCACAGACUAUUCGUUCUGGGAACGUCUCCAACAAAGUCGUUGUAAGUGGCCCAGUAGUGGUUUGGGUGGACCAGGAGGGUGACACAGAAUGCAUGGUGAGACCAUUCUCUAAAAAUGCCUCAAUGGGGCUCCUGGGUGGCUCAGUUGGUUAAGAGUCUGACUCUUGGUUUCUGCUCAGGUCAUGAUCUCGAGGUUUGUGAGUCGAGCCCUGCAUCAAGCUCUGUGCUGACAGUGCAGAACCUGCUUGGGAUUCUCUCUCUCUCUUUUUCUCUCUCUCCCUCCCUCUCCCUGCCCCUCCCCUGCUCGUGCUGUCUCUCUCUGUCUCUGUCUCUCAAAAAUAAAUAAACUUAAAAAAAAAUUUUUAAAGAUAAAAUUAAAAUGCCUCAGUGACAGAAGCACCAUCAACAGCAGAAGCAAAUAUUUACUGAAUUUGAUCCAAGCGCCCAAACUGAGGAAAUGUGAACACUGGGAAAGAAGGUUCUAGUUCAAACUUCCUAGACUUUGUUUUUUUAAGAAAACAGACAUCUCCAAAGAGACUUUUAUGUUCUAAGGGACAAACAAAAUCGUAGUAAAUUAAAUGUGUACUGUUUAUUUCAGCUGGCACAUUAACUAUAUAGUUAAUGUGAUGUCUCCAAGCAAGGUGGUUGGCUCUCUUUACAUGCUAGAAUAAUCAAUGAUUUAUGUACCUGACCAUCUUUUCAUAAUCCUUUACACAAGCAUGUGUAUUUAUGACUGUUUUAGAAAACUUUGAGGAUAAUUUUACUAUUGAAAGGGAUUAUAAAUUUUUUGCCAUUGUGACUGUGCUUGUUUAAGCAUAUCUAAAAUUCUUCUGAAGUCAAAUACUUUUGCAGCUAGAACAGUGAGGCAUUGUGGCAAAAUAGGCUGGGGGGCUUGCCAGGUUACAUUUGCUAAAAAUGGGACGUGUUUAUUUGGUCCCUCAAGGUUGGAACUCAGAAAUCACCUUAUCCAGUGAUUAUCAACAGGGGCACUGAUGCCAUAUUGAGUGUGAUCAUUUUCCAUUGUUUAGGACUAUCUUGAGCAUUGUCAGGGGAGUUAGUACUCCUGGCCCACCUGCACCAAAUGCCACUUGAAUCAUCUAGAAAUUUGGACAACAAACGCCCACAAUGGGGUGUGCCAUGGGGGACUGCCCUUGGGUGAGAAACACUGAUCAAUCCAAUGACCCAUGAAUGGGCUGCACAGGUCCCCUUCCACCAUCCUCUAAAGAUAACAGGUCAGCCCGGCUCUUCUGCCAUGCACCCACACCUCCAGUAAUGAAGAAAUCACCACCUCCUAAAGCCACAUUUGAACUCUACUCAUUAUUAAAAUGUUAUUUUUUAUGACAUAACUCCCCCCCCCCCCAUUUCCAUCAUUAGCCUUUGGUCUGUAACACAGACCUCUUUGUUUCUCAUCCUCUUCCACAUGAAUGCCCAUCAGUCUUUGAGAGUAGCCAUUGUGUUCCUCCUGUCCCAUGACAACCUCCCACCCCUCCUGGAAACUUGCUGUGUCAUUGUACAUGGUUUUGCACUUCAUGGCAAAGCACUUUUUGUAUUACCUCAUUUAAUUUUCACACCAUGAUGUAGGGGUGAUCAUUUCCUCUUCAAAGGAAAUGAAAUGGAGUUUCAGACCCAAUGACUGACCCAAGGCUGCACUGUUGGUCAUUGGUCAAGCAGGAACAUGAACCUAGUUCUUAUGCAAAUUCGGUACCUGUCACACUUCUCCCAGUGUUCACUAAAUUUUGUCCAGUCUCUCCCUUUCCAAUGCCUUCUUUCUUUCCAUCUCCACCUCUGCUUGUCUCCCAUCAUAGAAGGCAUGAUGGCCCCAAUUUUUUACCCUUUUUGUAUUUGCAUCCUUUACCAUAUUGCUUUGCAUUUCUUCCUAGCAACAGGUGGAAUAUAUUUCUCAGCUCUUGAUUUUGGGUUCAAUAGAAUGAAGUGAAAAUGUCAUUAUACCAGUUCUGAAUUUAGGCCUCAAGAAGCCUUGUAUGUUCCCACUUGUUCUUUUGCAUUUCUGCCUUCAUUAGACACAAGGAGCAGAGCCGCCUCAGCUGUCCUAUUUAGAUUAGCUGACCCCCAGCCAACCCAGAGGCUUGCAAGAAAAAAACAAUUGGUUUUAUUUAACUUAUUGAGUUUGGAAUUAUUUGUUAUGCAGCGGUUGCUAACUGAUACAUUUCUUCAACCUUCAGAAAACAAAGACUUCCCUUUACCCACUGUUUUUCUUUCCCUCAUUACUUGAAAGCCUGUACUAGCUUUCUUAACAUCUUCAUCUUUUGUUUCACAAACCACUACUACCUUCUGCUCCACUCUCCCUGUGAGAAGGGGCCCCCAACUUCUAAUGGCCAAACACUACGUGGUCCUGACAGCCUUUAGCGCCUUGAACCAUCCUGCCCUUCUGUAACUCCUUCUUUGGUUUUCAUGACACUUCCUGUGUUUCUCAUCUCUCUUUUCUCCUGUCAGGAGUCUCCUCUCUGCCCUUGUUGCCUCUUGCUUUCCUUCUCUCUCCCCAGGGACCCUAGCCUCUCUCAUGACUUCAAGGACCACAAAAGUAUCGACAGCUGUUUGUAACCCCAUGUCUCUUCAACAUUCCAGCUGUGUGUGCAUGUCUGUUUCACAGCUCCUGCAGGGGGUACUGAUGGUUUCACACAGGAAAUGAUUGCAGGUGGCGUGGAGGAGGAGUGGCAUAGGAAGAGAUCAGUGGUCAGGACUCCAGACCAGAAGGUAGGGCAAGAAUCCAGGCAAGAGGUGAUGUGGCCAGGCUCAGAUGUCAGAGUCACCAGAAACCCUUGAUUGAGCACCUGUGCUUCCUCCUGCAAAGCUGCAGUUUUGUUUUUGGACUCAGGUACAGGACUUCACAUUUAUCCUUCUUAAAUCUAUUCAUGGUUAGCUUUGGCCCAGUACUGCAACCUGUCACACUCCUUGCUAAUUCUAUUAUACCCACUUAAUUAGGCAUCCCUCCUGGACCGAUGUCAAUCAGUCAUUUGGUCAAUGUGUUACUUGUAUCCUACUCAAGGCACAGAUAACACUGAAAAGAAAGGUUCUGGCGGGAAGAAUACAGCAAUACCUGUUAUUUGUUUUAGCUACCAAAUGGCUGCAUGACCCAGAAAUUGAUGCAGGUGUGGCUGGGUGUUGGUUCUCAUACACCCUCCUCCACGGGAGGGGCUAGGUGAUCCCCACAGGAAUCAGAUGUGCGUCCAUCAGACUUCUGCCUCGUGGCAGCCCUGUGGCUCUGGGCCACAGAGGAAUCUGAGAUGGAAGAAUGGCCGGCUGGGCAGCAACCACUCCUAUCAGGAAAUCUAAGCCAACGUUAUGUCCAACUGAAAAAGCAAGCCAAGAGAACAAAAGCAGGUCUUGUGUAAUUUCCAGACUGCACUGUGGCUCCAAGCAGCUUUGUAUCACACAGACCAGUUGGCUGGUGACCGAGGCUCUGAGAGGCUCACCUGCUCCUCCCUCUCCCUGGCAGAUAUGCCCCCCCAGAGCCGCCAAGGAAGAGAACCCAGGGAGGCUGGCGACUGAGAAAGCUUGCACCAGGGCUGUGUGCACUCGUCCUUUUCUCCAGGGGUAAUCCUAACAUUUGGGCAGAUGCCUGGCUUUAGCCAAGAGCCUCGUCCAAGAACAUCAUGAUCUCAAUCCUUGCUGGCUCACUCUGCCUUUGGCCCCCCAGGAGCCUCCCAGGCGGCAGCAGGGAAGGGCACAGAGUAUUUCCUGACACCCUGGCCCUCUCCUGGUUCCCAGCUUUGAGGAUGAAAGAGGGAGGAGGAACAGAGUUUGGCCUCAGGCCACCAGGGGCUGGUACCCCAGGGCUAGCUCGUGCUGUCUGGGAGAGUUAAACUGCUCAGAGCCUCAGUUUCCUCAAGUAUGAAAUGGGAGUGGCUCUGGCUGAGAUGUGUAUUUAGUGCCAGGCAGGCGGUGCUCUGUCAGUGGCAGCCUCACUUGGACAGUGGGACAGCAACAAGGCCGUGCAGUUAGUCAAGUGCAGGGGAAGAUGCUGUGGGGCCUCUGGGCAGAUUGAGCGCCACCUAGAGGCCAGCCCGCCCUCCACCUGGGGCUUUCCCUGUUGGGAGUGACAGGAACACAAACCGGGGACAUGCAGAGGAAGGAAACUGACCAGAAUGUGUGGCACCUUUUUAUUUAGUCAGUCUUUAUUUAAAUGUGUGUUUUGAAAUAGCUUAUUAAAUAGGAUCUUCUCCAAGUUCAAUUCUCACAAUAUUUACAGUGAAUUUUGUGCAAACAUAUUUUGACUGUGAGCUUCUUGCUCCCCCCA